GCCACUGCAAUUCGUUAAUCCCUUUGGAAAAUUGCUUAAGCCUGGCAUGUUUUGUAAUGAACUUUAUCUCUUCACUACCAAAAGUCGUAAAAAGGAACUUCAGUGAGGAAAGAAACACAAUUGAUAAUUGAAUAUUUCAAAGAGAUCAGCAUUUUAGAAAACUGGCUUUUUGGAUUGGCUCACAGUUUUCCUACUUUUCUGUCCUGUCAGUUGAGAAGAAUACAUUUCAAGAGAUGCUCUUGGAAAACACGUUUGAUGGAGAGGUUGAUUUUUGUAACCUGUAUGCCGUAGUCAGAAGAGCCGUCCUCUGGCAGAUAUGUGAAAGAACUGCCUAUGAGGAGCGAGAGGCUACUUCGCACACCUCGCAGCUCAGGUCCCCGGAGACGGCUUUACAGGCACACAAGCCCCUCUCCCAAGCCAUCUGCCAGGAGCCCCAUGAGGAACACAGCACAGCGCCUGCAUCAGAAGCCCAUGGGUUUGCCUAUCACAUGUCUUGUUUUCUCCUGAUCCGUGGCUCACAGGCUCAGUGUGACCCAACCUCCUAGAUUUCCCCAUCAGUGCUAUUUGCAGUGCCCCCAAGCACUUUCCUCCACUCCAGUCCCUGAGCGCAUGCCAACGGCCCUAUUUUCAGCCACCCCUCUCCAUGCCUCUUGUCUGUCUCUAGCUGACAAGCAGAUUAUCUCUUCUGUCCACUUUGUUUGCCAAUGUACUUUGGCACCAUUGAAUUCCAACACAUGAAGUAAACUGAACUGUGUACAACGCUGAGCACACACGUGGUUUGGAGAGCAGCCCCUUGUCAGGAUCCAAAAUGUUCCCAAGCCUUGUUGAUAUUUGGGUCACUGCAGAUCUCUGAGUCCCCCUUCCUUUUUAAUCUUCUUCCCCUCAACUCAUUCUCAAUUUCUCUCUCUGAAACCACCUGUGAACACACUUAUGCAUUCAAAUAGAUGCAUACUGUUCAUGCUUAUAUUUUUCUGUAACCGUCAUAUCUAAUAAAUACUUAUCAUCCAGGAA
rnacentral:lncRNA from 1 species